GGCCUCGUAGUCCAGCUGGUAGAGCAUGCGCGUACAAAGCGUAGGCAGCGCCCAUGCGUGAGUUCGAAUCCCACCGAGGCCA
rnacentral:tRNA from 1 species